rnacentral:lncRNA from 1 species
GCCGUCUUUUUUUUUUUUUUUUUCAAACAAAUGUGUUAUUGCUCAACAACAAAGGGUCUGACAAGAUCCCACAGAGCUUAUACUACAAAGCUACAUAAAAGCGGCAAAUGAUGAAUGGUAAGUGCAUUCUGACUUGAUUCGGUUUAAAGAGAUCACUUCCAAGAAACACUUGGGAUCAGUACUUGUGGUAUAAGAGAUGUGUCCUGACAGCUGGGGUUUAUUGGAACAAGUGGAGCUUUGUUCUCUUUUAUGUCCAUUUAUUCCCAUGCAUUUGUCAUCCAAAACUGCUCAUGCAGAGGGCAAAGCAGAAGAUUACACACUGGAGCACCAGCAAAGAGCUCUCCUUCACCUUUCGUCAUGAGUAGAAGCAGCCUGGGCCCCUCACCAGAAGCAGAUGCCAGCCCCAUGCUUCUUGUACAGCCUGCAGAACACUGGAUGUCCGUGAAGUUGUGUUUGAAGAAUGGUGGAGCCUCCAUAAGCAAGAUCUUUGAUGAUUACAUGGAACUCAACUUAUCCAACCCUCUACCCCUGCCUAUUCAAAUUUGCAUAAAGAAAAUAUAAUUGUCUAUAAUAUCAGACCCCUGAAAUUUGGGCAGGGAAGUGGGGGAGGUCUGUUACAGCAGUUAGCCUACCCUGACUCAUACAGCAUUCAAGAGCCCAUAGAAAGAGCAAACGAUGCUCUCUGAAUGCACCUACUCUUGCAGCAUUUCUGACCAUCUUUUUUGUAAUGUUCCCCUCUACUUGAUUCCAACAACUGGUGUUGAGCUGGGGAAUGAUGGGGAGAAGCAUGUCAGGUUGUUACAUACUAGCUUGUCAAUAUGACUUUGGAAAAGAGAAUGUGAAGAUGGCAAAGAAUACACAUUCCUGAGGACAGAAAUGCUAUCCCAACCAACAAAUCCUUGAGGGGUCUGUUCCCUAAAACAGUCAUUCUACUAGGUGCUGGGAAUACUAAGGUAUGAAACUUCAUCUCCACCUUAGAAUGAAAACAAAAACAAACAAAAAGAUACAAUUCUUUUCCUCUAACUUACAAACGAGUUGGGGAAACACAACUUAAAAAACAGUGGGCUAAUCAAAGAGGACAAACUUUACAGUCAGCAGAACUGGGUUGCAAUAACAAAUAUGGCACUUAAAUAGUAAAUAGAUGGACAACUAUUUCAUCACAUUGUCCUCAGUUUCCUUAGGCACCUGAUAAACAGGUUUAAGUUUUUUAACAUUUUAUUUUGAAAUAAUUUUUAGCUUAAAGAAGAGUUGGAAGAGUUCCCAUCAUUCCUUCUCCUAUCUUCCCGUAAUGUUAACAAUUUUACCUAGUUUGUUUUUAUUUUACAGAAUUGUUUUGACUACUCUGGUUUCUUUACUUCUCCAAAUAAAUUUCAGAAUCAACUUGUUGUUUCUGCAAAGAAGCAUAUAGUUGGGUCUUGUUUUUUACCCAGUCUGACAAUGUUUUUCAAUUAGUGUUCAGAUCAUUAAUGUGUAAAAUGCAUUAAAAUCACCUUCUUACUGGC